CUAGAACCUGAAGUUUGUCUACUCCGAGAAUAAAACAAAAACUUUAACUGUUUUACAGUUUUGUUUUGUUUUUAAUUAUUUACUGUUAUUUAUUGAUUUGUUCCAUAUCCUAUUCCGCUGUUUUUUCCAGAUAAGACAGAGAUUCCCUGGGAAUAUACCCGCUAAAGAACAGCAGUGUCUCAUGCCUCUCCUUCAUCUCUCUGUGGAGAACACAGAGACAGAGAAAACUACAACCUUUCCCAUGAGAAGCUAAGGACAUGCCUUCACCACUAGCAGCUGCUGCCACUUUGUACCUUCCUGUCCCAGAAGAUGUGGUACCAGCUGUGCAGAUCCCUGUUUACACUGGGCUUCAUCCCCUCCAGUAUUCAUUCAGCUUUCUUGCAAUGACUUUGGUGCCUGUGUGAUGCUUUUACUUCUUGUUCAAUUCUGGACCUCAGUGGGCACGGCACCAAGACCUACUGCUUCUGGUCACAAACCUCCAGAUGGAUCUACCAAAAUGAUACCUCUCAGUACUGGUACAAGAUCAAUGAAGACCUCAAAACCAACCAACCAACCAAACAAGCAAACAAAAAACCUUCAAGUUUGUCACCAGUUCAAUGUGGAGGAAGAAGUGUAUUACAGGUUAUUUCAUCUGCUUCUCCCUGCAGACAAGCCCGCACAAAGAUCAAGCCAA
rnacentral:lncRNA from 1 species